UACAGAGGGUGCAAGCGUUGUUCGGAAUUACUGGGCGUAAAGCGCGCGCAGGCGGGAUGGCAAGUCGGAUGUGAAAGCCCUCGGCUCAACCGGGGAAGUGCAUUCGAAACUGCUGUUCUUGAGUGUCGGAGAGGGUGGUGGAAUUCCCGGUGUAGCGGUGGAAUGCGCAGAUAUCAGGAGGAACACCGAUAGCGAAGGCAGAUCUCUGGGCCGUAACUGACGCUGAGGAGCGAAAGCGUGGGGAGCGAACAGG
rnacentral:rRNA from 1 species